GAGCGGACUUCUUAAAAGCUUGCUUUUAAGAAGUCAGCGGCGGACGGGUGAGUAACACGUGGGCAACCUGCCUGUAAGACUGGGAUAACUUCGGGAAACCGGAGCUAAUACCGGAUAAUAUAAGGAACCUCCUGGUUCUUUAUUGAAAGAUGGUUUCGGCUAUCACUUACAGAUGGGCCCGCGGCGCAUUAGCUAGUUGGUGAGGUAAUGGCUCACCAAGGCGACGAUGCGUAGCCGACCUGAGAGGGUGAUCGGCCACACUGGGACUGAGACACGGCCCAGACUCCUACGGGAGGCAGCAGUAGGGAAUCUUCCACAAUGGACGAAAGUCUGAUGGAGCAACGCCGCGUGAGCGAUGAAGGCCUUCGGGUCGUAAAGCUCUGUUGUUAGGGAAGAACAAGUGCGAGAGUAACUGCUCGCACCUUGACGGUACCUAACCAGAAAGCCACGGCUAACUACGUGCCAGCAGCCGCGGUAAUACGUAGGUGGCAAGCGUUGUCCGGAAUUAUUGGGCGUAAAGCGCGCGCAGGUGGUCCUUUAAGUCUGAUGUGAAAGCCCACGGCUCAACCGUGGAGGGUCAUUGGAAACUGGGGGACUUGAGUGCAGAAGAGGAAAGUGGAAUUCCAAGUGUAGCGGUGAAAUGCGUAGAGAUUUGGAGGAACACCAGUGGCGAAGGCGACUUUCUGGUCUGUAACUGACACUGAGGCGCGAAAGCGUGGGGAGCAAACAGGAUUAGAUACCCUGGUAGUCCACGCCGUAAACGAUGAGUGCUAAGUGUUAGAGGGUUUCCGCCCUUUAGUGCUGCAGCUAACGCAUUAAGCACUCCGCCUGGGGGAGUACGGUCGCAAGACUGAAACUCAAAGGAAUUGACGGGGGCCCGCACAAGCGGUGGAGCAUGGUGGUUUAAUUCGAAGCAACGCGAAGAACCUUACCAGGUCUUGACAUCCUCUGACACUCCUAGAAGAUAGGACGUUCCCCUUCGGGGGGACAAAGUGACAGGUGGGUGCAUGGGUUGUCGUCAGCUCGUGUCGUGAGAAUGUUGGGUUAAGUCCCGCAACGAGCGCAACCCUUGAUCUUAGUUGCCAGCAUUCAGUUGGGCACUCUAAGGUGACUGCCGGUGACAAACCGGAAGGAAGGUGGGGGAUGACGU
rnacentral:rRNA from 2 species